rnacentral:rRNA from 1 species
CUACAAGGGUUUCUAAUCCUGUUUGCUACCCAUGCUUUCGAAUCUCAGCGUCAGUUACAGACCAGAAAGCCGCCUUCGCCACUGGUGUUCUUCCAUAUAUCUACGCAUUCCACCGCUACACAUGGAGUUCCACUUUCCUCUUCUGCACUCAAGUUUACCAGUUUUCGAAGCACUUCCUCGGUUGAGCCGAGGGCUUUCACUUCAAACUUAAUAAACCGCCUACAUUCUCUUUACGCCCAAUAAAUCCGGACAACGCUUGCCACCUACGUAUUACCGCGGCUGCUGGCAC